UACAGAGGUGGCAAGCGUUGUUCGGAAUUACUGGGCGUAAAGGGCUCGUAGGCGGCCAACUAAGUCGGACGUGAAAUCCCUCAGCUUAACUGGGGAACUGCGUCCGAUACUGGAUGGCUUGGAUUUGGGAGAGGGAUGCGGAAUUCCAGGUGUAGCGGUGAAAUGCGUAGAUAUCUGGAGGAACACCGGUGGCGAAGGCGGCAUCCUGGACCAAUAUUGACGCUGAGGCACGAAAGCUAGGGGAGCAAACAGG
rnacentral:rRNA from 1 species